rnacentral:lncRNA from 1 species
UAUUCAAAUUUUAAAUUUAAUAUUUUAAAUUUUAUAAUUAUUUUAAAUUUUAAAGUUUAAAUUUUAAAUUUUGAAAUUUAAAAUUUAAAUAUAUUUUUAAAUAUUAAUAUUUUAUAUUUUAAAUUUCAUAAUUAUUUAUAUUUUUACAUUUAAAUUUAAAAUUUUAAUUUUUAAAUUUCAAAUUUUAAAUUUAGAUUUUAAUUUUAAUUUUUAAAUUCUAAAUUUAAAGUUUGGAAUUUUAAUUUAUGCAAAUAUCAAAAAAAAUUAAUAAAAAUAUUAAUUUAUGCAAACAUCAAGAAAAAUUUGCCAAACAGUUUUUCAAAAUCACUUCAGAAAAAUCACUUUUAUCUAAAUUCCGCCAAACACUCUACAGCUUUUAACCAAAAUCACUUCUCCAAACUAAAAUCACUUUUUCAGAAGCUAGGCCAGACAGGACCUGAGACUUUCCUCCAAAAUGUCCAACUUUUGUAUUUCUUCAAUAAUCUUUUUCUUCAUUUUC